GUGUGAGAGAGCGAGAAUGUUUGAGUGAGUGAGUGAGUGAGUGAGUGAGUGAGUGAGUGAGUGAGUGAGUGAGUGAGUGAGUGAGUGAGUGAGUGAGCGAGCGAGCGAGUGAGCGAGCGAGCGAGUCCGCCCGCCCGCCACGUCCUACACAUUGAUCUUAUUUGAUCCCCCUGCAUAGUGCAGCCUGUGGCAGGGGUGAAAUGAUGAGACACCUCUGGCAAAGCCCUUCUCGGGCUAUGUGCGCUGAUCUCUGGUCUUCAGGCUGCGUAACCCGGCAUGAUGAAACGAUCAGAUAUACUAGGCUAGGGAGCAGUGCGUCAUGCCCUGUCCCUUGCCUGUGAGUAUAGAUGCGAUUCUGACCAGG
rnacentral:snoRNA from 1 species